AGAUUAGCUUGCUUUAUUUGUCAGCUAAGUGGCGCACGGGUGAGUAAUGUAUAGGUAAUAUGCCUCUUACUAAGGGAUAACAAAUGGAAACGUUUGCUAAUACCUUAUACUCCUUAUUAACAGAAGUUAAUAAGGGAAAGAUUUAUUGGUAAGAGAUUAGCCUGUAUUGUAUCAGUUAGUUGGUGGGGUAAUGGCUUACCAAGACUAUGACACAUAACUGGUUUGAGAGGAUGAUCAGUCACACUGGAACUGAGACACGGUCCAGACUCCUACGGGAGGCAGCAGUGGGGAAUAUUGCACAAUGGACGAAAGUCUGAUGCAGCAACGCCGCGUGGAGGAUGACACAUUUCGGUGCGUAAACUCCUUUUAUAUGAGAAGAUAAUGACGGUAUUAUAUGAAUAAGCACCGGCUAACUCCGUGCCAGCAGCCGCGGUAAUACGGGGGGUGCAAGCGUUACUCGGAAUCACUGGGCGUAAAGAGCAUGUAGGCGGAUUAAUAAGUUUGAAGUGAAAUCCUAUAGCUUAACUAUAGAACUGCUUUGAAAACUGUUAAUCUAGAAUGUGGGAGAGGUAGA
rnacentral:rRNA from 1 species